UAGACUACACUUACAGAGAUUAUUUCUACAGUUUCUGACUUGAGAAAUGUGUUUCUAAAGUGUAUUGUCUCGCCAAUAACAAUGACUUGAGAUAUAUCUGUCUCUACAGGACGUGGAUGGAGAAUAAUGAUGCCCUUCAUAUGUUCUAUAUCACUGAUGACUGUUAGUUGCUUACUCAUGCAGCACUGAGGAGGGGGUAUGAUGAGAGU
ensembl:snoRNA U3 Small nucleolar RNA U3